UGCCCAAGAGACUGGGAUAACACCUGGAAACAGAUGCUAAUACCGGAUAACAACACUAGACGCAUGUCUAGAGUUUAAAAGAUGGUUCUGCUAUCACUCUUGGAUGGACCUGCGGUGCAUUAGCUAGUUGGUAAGGCAACGGCUUACCAAGGCAAUGAUGCAUAGCCGAGUUGAGAGACUGAUCGGCCACAUUGGGACUGAGACACGGCCCAAACUCCUACGGGAGGCAGCAGCG
rnacentral:rRNA from 1 species